rnacentral:rRNA from 1 species
UUGGCCGGGCGACGGUUGUCCCGGUUUAAGCGUGUAGGCUGGUUUUCCAGGCAAAUCCGGAAAAUCAAGGCUGAGGCGUGAUGACGAGGCACUACGGUGCUGAAGCAACAAAUGCCCUGCUUCCAGGAAAAGCCUCUAAGCAUCAGGUAACAUCAAAUCGUACCCCAAACCGACACAGGUGGUCAGGUAGAGAAUACCAAGGCGCUUGAGAGAACUCGGGUGAAGGAACUAGGCAAAAUGGUGCCGUAACUUCGGGAGAAGGCACGCUGAUAUGUAGGUGAAGCGACUUGCUCGUGGAGCUGAAAUCAGUCGAAGAUACCAGCUGGCUGCAACUGUUUAUUAAAAACACAGCACUGUGCAAACACGAAAGUGGACGUAUACGGUGUGACGCCUGCCCGGUGCCGGAAGGUUAAUUGAUGGGGUUAGCGGUAACGCGAAGCUCUUGAUCGAAGCCCCGGUAAACGGCGGCCGUAACUAUAACGGUCCUAAGGUAGCGAAAUUCCUUGUCGGGUAAGUUCCGACCUGCACGAAUGGCGUAAUGAUGGCCAGGCUGUCUCCACCCGAGACUCAGUGAAAUUGAACUCGCUGUGAAGAUGCAGUGUACCCGCGGCAAGACGGAAAGACCCCGUGAACCUUUACUAUAGCUUGACACUGAACAUUGAGCCUUGAUGUGUAGGAUAGGUGGGAGGCUUUGAAGUGUGGACGCCAGUCUGCAUGGAGCCGACCUUGAAAUACCACCCUUUAAUGUUUGAUGUUCUAACGUUGGCCCCUGAUCGGGGUUGCGGACAGUGUCUGGUGGGUAGUUUGACUGGGGCGGUCUCCUCCUAAAGAGUAACGGAGGAGCACGAAGGUUGGCUAAUCCUGGUCGGACAUCAGGAGGUUAGUGCAAUGGCAUAAGCCAGCUUGACUGCGAGCGUGACGGCGCGAGCAGGUGCGAAAGCAGGUCAUAGUGAUCCGGUGGUUCUGAAUGGAAGGGCCAUCGCUCAACGGAUAAAAGGUACUCCGGGGAUAACAGGCUGAUACCGCCCAAGAGUUCAUAUCGACGGCGGUGUUUGGCACCUCGAUGUCGGCUCAUCACAUCCUGGGGCUGAAGUAGGUCCCAAGGGUAUGGCUGUUCGCCAUUUAAAGUGGUACGCGAGCUGGGUUUAGAACGUCGUGAGACAGUUCGGUCCCUAUCUGCCGUGGGCGCUGGAGAACUGAGGGGGGCUGCUCCUAGUACGAGAGGACCGGAGUGGACGCAUCACUGGUGUUCGGGUUGUCAUGCCAAUGGCACUGCCCGGUAGCUAAAUGCGGAAGAGAUAAGUGCUGAAAGCAUCUAAGCACGAAACUUGCCCCGA